rnacentral:tRNA from 1 species
GAGGGGAUGCCGGAGCGGUCAAACGGGCUACGUUUAGGCCGUAGUGGUUUUUGCCUACGGGGGUUCGAAUCCUCCUCCCCUCA